rnacentral:rRNA from 1 species
ACUAAAUAGAUACCCUGGUAGUCCACGCCCUAAACGAUGUCUACUAGUUGUCGGGUCUUAAUUGACUUGGGUAAACGCAGCUAAACGCGUGAAGUAGACCGCCUGGGGAGUACGGUCGCAAGAUUAAAACUCAAAGGAAUUGACGGGGACCCGCACAAGCGGUGGAUGAUGUGGACUAAUUCGAUGCAACGCGAAAAACCUUACCUACCCUUGACAUGGAUGGAAUCCCUGAGAGAUUGGGGAGUGCUCGAAAGAGAACCAUUACACAGGUGCUGCAUGGCUGUCGUCAGCUCGUGUCGUGAGAUGUUGGGUUAAGUCCCGCAACGAGCGCAACCCUUGUCAUUAGUUGCUACGAAAGGGCACUCUAAUGAGACUGCCGGUGACAAACCGGAGGAAGGUGGGGAUGACGUCAAGUCCUCAUGGCCCUUAUGGGUAGGGCUUCACACGUCAUACAAUGGUACAUACAGAGGGCCGCCAACCCGGCGAGGGGUAGCUAAUCCCAGAAAGUGUAUCGUAGUCCGGAUUGUAGUCUGCAACUCG